UGGGGAAUUUUGGACAAUGGGCGAAAGCCUGAUCCAGCAAUGCCGCGUGUGUGAAGAAGGCCUUCGGGUUGUAAAGCGCUUUUGUCCGGAAAGAAAUCCUUGGCUCUAAUACAGUCGGGGGAUGACGGUACCGGAAGAAUAAGCACCGGCUAACUACGUGCCAGCAGCCGCGGUAAUACGUAGGGUGCAAGCGUUAAUCGGAAUUACUGGGCGUAAAGCGUGCGCAGGCGGUUUGCUAAGACCGAUGUGAAAUCCCCGGGCUCAACCUGGGAACUGCAUUGGUGACUGGCAGGCUAGAGUAUGGCAGAGGGGGGUAGAAUUCCACGUGUAGCAGUGAAAUGCGUAGAGAUGUGGAGGAAUACCGAUGGCGAAGGCAGCCCCCUGGGCCAAUACUGACGCUCAUGCACGAAAGCGUGGGGAGCAAACAGGAUUAGAUACCCUGGUAGUCCACGCCCUAAACGAUGUCAACUAGUUGUUGGGGAUUCAUUUCCUUAGUAACGUAGCUAACGCGUGAAGUUGACCGCCUGGGGAGUACGGUCGCAAGAUU
rnacentral:rRNA from 1 species